AGUAAUUAUUAAUGCCUAAAGAAAUGGUAAUGAGAUGCUGUUAGAUUUAGCUUCUUCAUCAUUCACUUUCAGGUUUCAUAUGAUUUGCUUGUCUUUGCCCCUAUGGUUUGUCAAAUGUGUUUAGGUGCACUCAUGCUCAUGUUGAAAAAGUUAUGCUAUGGUUGAUAAUAUCCUGAACUGCAGUCUUGUCAUGAGGGUUGUUUAGAGCAUGAAGCUCUGCAUACCCAAAAGAAGAAACUGUAUUUAAACCUUUUGGAAAAAUCACCUUUCUGCUGUUCUUGGGUUGUAUAUUUUUUUUUUGAUAAGGGCUUAGAGAUUGACUUGAUGGAGGUUCGACUGUUGGGCCCAUCCAGCAUUGGCAGCAUGUAGGAUGAAGAUGGUUGUUGAGGUCCGUGCUUCUAAUGAAAACUAGCAAUGUUAGCAGAAGAAUUUGCUGUGUUGGAACAGGAUAGAAAUGUUAUGCAUAGAUCUGCUGAAGCUGUUCUGGUAAGGAAGUCCUUGGUAUGUUGUCUUCCAUAAAAUAAUUUCGGCCACCUACCCUCUUUGCUAAUAUGUUUGUCUUUAUGUUUUUUAAAAAGAACUAUCUUUUAUAAAUAUUCAUCACUCUUUAACAUUUACCCUAUGUUUUGUAAUUCUGCUAGAAACCAUGUAUAUAAAAUUUUGUAUGCUUGAAUGGACCAAGUGAAACAACUAGAUUGGGACAAUAUGCCAUCACUGGCACUUCUUUGACAUCCAUCACACUUCUUUCGUCUCAACAGGUCAGUACUGGCAAAUGGCAAGACAGUGUACCUAGUUAGAAGGAAAAUGAUUCAGGACAUCUACUUUGUGCACUUGGAAAGUUCAUCAGGCUUAUAACUGCUGGCUUGUCGAAUCCAUAAUCAACCAAGCUGUGUUGCCAGUAAAUCCUGUGAGUUACACCAACUUUGCUCUUACCACGUGGCAAGAGAAUUGUUCAUGCGUACAUAACGAGAGCCCCUGGCAUUACUUAUUGCAGAGUUAUAAUGCAAUGCUAUUAUGCUUCUCACUUUAGGUGGAACAUCCCCCCUUCGUGCAAUUAGAUUGGUUUGGUUCGCUUGCCAAUCUUGUCCAUAUUCCAUUAAUCCUGAUUUGUUGAUCCUAGAUCCUACCGUUAAUCCCGUUGCAACAAAAAAUUAUGUAAAACAUCAACAAAAAUGUGAACUGAUCGUAGCAAACCUCAUCAGUCUCUGAUCCUCUUUCCGUACAUGUUCCGGAUUGCAGCCGGUGUUUGCAGCCUACGCUCUCAAAAAAGUUGUUCAUCAGUUCGGAAAAGUUGAUUCAAAAGUAAUAUUUUUAUUCAGGUUUCACUUCAUCACAGUACGUAGUGGAUGCUGGAACCCUGGAUGCUGUAAAAUAACACCACCAUCGGACGUUUUAGUGCAUAUCAAACAAGCCUGGCUUCUUAUCCACUCAGCAACAAUCGGAUGUUUUGUUAGUGAAUAUUUUGGUCAUUAAAAAAAUUAUUUAAAUUAAAAUAAUUUUUUGAUGUUAGUCAGAAAGUAUUGUGGGAAAAAUUUCAAAAUAAAAUUUUUUUUAAAUAGAUUUUUUCAGUUUUUUAAUUUUUUAUUACACCUCACUGUACCAUCCAAUAAUAUUUUUUGAGGAUCAGAGAAAUACUUUUUGAAAAAAAAAGAUAAGAUCAACGGCUUUUACUGUCUAACUAGUUGGGAUUCAGUGUGCAGAUCUAUUGAGCAAAAGGGAUCGGGCAUUAAGAAUCUUAAGCAAAUGGAUAUAGCUUUACUAUUUAAGUGGGCAUGAAAAUUCAUAAAUGGUUCAUCAAACCCGUGGUGGCAUUAAGUUAAGUCAGCCUAUUACUCAAGACGGAGGCUUGGCAUGUGCAUUGCAAGGAACUACUCUCGAUUCUCAUAUGUCUGGAGGAUGUGAACAAACACUUGAGCACCUUUUGGAACUGUAUUGGUGAUGGUGCAAAGAUUAGAUUUUGAGAGGACUGUUGGGUUGGGCCUAUCUCCUUGACGAAGUUAUUC